rnacentral:rRNA from 1 species
AUUUUGGUUCCGAUUGAACGUUAUUCAGUAGUCUAAGGCAUGCAAAUCAUUUUAAUAAACUAUGCUAUGGAAACCUCAUCUUAAUUCUAUUGGCACUAGAAUAAGGUGAAUUCUAAAUUUACAGGUCAAAUAGAAUAUUUAAGUUAAAAGGUGUAGAGGUGAGUAAUAUUAAAUUAGAUACCCUUUAGUAUCCGUAAAUAGAAUAUAACCAAAGAGAUAAUUCUCGCUAUGGGAUUUUAAUUUAACUUGACUAGGUAGUUGGUGGGGUUAAAGGCCUACCAAGCCGACGAUCAAUAGCCAUUCUUGUAAGAGACAAUGGCCACAUUGGGUUUGAAAUCGACCCUAGUAGUUUUAAACUACCAGCAGCCGAGAAUAUUUGUCAAUGCUCGCAAGAGUGAACGAGCUAACUGAAAGAUUACACAAUCUAAGGAUAGAAAACUUACAAAUACAUUAUUUAUAAGUUUAAAUACGAAUCUGACUAAUAGUGUCGUCUAAAUUCUGGUGCCAGAAGACUCGGUAAUACCAGAGACGCGAACGUUAAUCAUCAUGAAUGGGCAUAAAGGGUUUGUAGGUGGCUUAUUUAUUAAUAGGCUAGAAUCUUAUAGAGGUUAAUAAAAUACUUAGAGGAGGGCUGAUAUCCUUAGAUCCUGAGUGGAAUCCUAAUUGCGAAGGCCAUUAACCAAUAAAGAUUGACGCUGAGACACGAAAGUUAGGACAGGAACUAGGAUUAGAGACCCUAUUACCCCUAACUGUAAACGAUGAAUGGAAGAUAUUUACUAUAACAGUAAGUGUCGAAGUGAAUACGAUAACCAUUCCGCCUUGCCAGUAUACUUGCAAAAGUGAAAACAAAAAAAUUAGUCGGUCCUAAAGCAAACGAAGUGAAGCAUGUUAUUUAAUUCGAUAACCCGCGUAUAAUCUUACCACUUCUUGAAUAUUAACCUUAAUACUAAGGUCCGAAUCCUCGGGUUUGGAAUAAAUAACUUAUAUUAUAAGUUUUUAUUAUAAUACAGGUGUUGCAUGGCUGUCGUCAGUUCGUGUCAUGAGAUGUGAGGUUAAUUCCACUAACGAACGCAAUCCCUACUAUUAAUUUAUGUUUAAUAGUGAUUUUUUAAUAUAAAGAAUCUUUUUGGGGCUAAGACAAGUCCUUAUGACCCGAAUGAAGUGGGCUAUAGACGUGCUGCAAAAGCUCAGAACAAAGUGAUGCAAUACUAACCCUUUCCUUUAUUUUUAAGGUAUUUUAUAUAUCUUAAAUAUCUUAAGG